UACGUAGGGUGCAAGCGUUGUCCGGAAUCAUUGGGCGUAAAGCGCGCGUAGGUGGCUUCGUAAGUCCGUUGUGAAAGUCAAAGGCUCAACCUUUGAAUGCCGAUGGAUACUGCGAAGCUAGAGUACGGAAGAGGCGAGUGGAAUUCCUGGUGUAGCGGUGGAAUGCGCAGAUAUCAGGAGGAACACCAAUAGCGAAGGCAGCUCGCUGGGACGUACUGACACUAAGGCGCGAAAAGCGUGGGGAGCGAACGAGG
rnacentral:rRNA from 1 species